AUUGAACGCUGGCGGCAGGCCUAACACAUGCAAGUCGAACGGUAACAGGAAGAAGCUUGCUUCUUUGCUGACGAGUGGCGGACGGGUGAGUCAUGUCUGGGAAACUGCCUGAUGGAGGGGGAUAACUACUGGAAACGGUAGCUAAUACCGCAUAACGUCGCAAGCCCAAAGAGGGGGACCUUCGGGCCGCUUGCCAUCGGCUGUUACCAGAUGGGAUUAGCUAGUAGGUGGGGUAACGGCUCACCUAGGCGACGAUCCCUAGCUGGUCUGAGAGGAUGACCAGCCACACUGGAACUGAGACACGGUCCAGACUCCUACGGGAGGCGGCAGUGGGGAAUAUUGCACAAUGGGCGCAAGCCUGAUGCAGCCAUGCCGCGUGUAUGAAGAAGGCCUUCGGGUUGUAAAAUUCUUUCAGCGGGGAGGAAGGGAGUAAAGUUAAUACCUUUGCUCAUUGACGUUACCCGCAGAAGAAGCACCGGCUAACUCCGUG
rnacentral:rRNA from 1 species